rnacentral:rRNA from 1 species
AACGAACGCUGGCGGCAUGCCUAACACAUGCAAGUCGAACGAGACCUUCGGGUCUAGUGGCGCACGGGUGCGUAACGCGUGGGAACCUGCCCUUAGGUUCGGAAUAACUCCCGAAAGGGGUGCUAAUACCGGAUAAUUUUUUCGGACCAAAGAUUUAUCGCCUUUGGAUGGGCCCGCGUUGGAUUAGCUAGUUGGUAGGGUAAAAGCCUACCAAGGCGACGAUCCAUAGCUGGUCUGAGAGGAUGAUCAGCCACACUGGGACUGAGACACGGCCCAGACUCCUACGGGAGGCAGCAGUGGGGAAUAUUGGACAAUGGGCGAAAGCCUGAUCCAGCAAUGCCGCGUGAGUGAUGAAGGCCUUAGGGUUGUAAAGCUCUUUUACCCGGGAUGAUAAUGACAGUACCGGGAGAAUAAGCUCCGGCUAACUCCGUG